rnacentral:lncRNA from 1 species
GGAUACAUCUAUUCAAUAUCAAAUAAAAAUUUAAAAUUUUAGUAAUUUUAAUUAAAUAAUUGGGUUGAGGCACAUCGAGAAUCAAAGAUAUCAGUUGAGGGGUUACGGAUGUCUCUAUUUAGCUAGAAACUAUGAGAAGUUAUGAUAUGUGAUUAUGAGGGAUAAAUUUUAGCAUAAGGGGAAUUUAAGGGAUAAAUUUAGCUUAGAGGGAUUUUGAGGGAUAAAAUGAAUUUACGGAGAUUGUAAAGAAUAAAAUGAGCCUAGGAGGAUCUUGAGGGAUAAAAUGAGUUAGGGAGAUAAUAAGAGAUAGAUUAGAAAUUUUAAUCUCUCUGCAUUUCACAGCUUUCAAAAAAAAAAAAUGUUUUACGUCUUUGAUUGAUUAAUUGUUUGUAUGUCGUAUACCAAUGGCGUCACUAAUUUUUUAUAUUUAUUGAGCACGUGGAAAGAUCAUUUCAUUCAAUUUUAUCAAUUUUUCAGAUAAGGAGGAUCCAAUUUUAGAUUAGGAGGAUCCAACCCCUAAACUAGAUAAAAAAAAGAAACUGUGUAAGCACCCGUGGUAGAAAUUGAUAUUUUUAUAACCGAACAGAUCUUUAUUUUGUUUUGGCUCUAUCUUACGGAUAUCAAGUAUUGUAAAUAGUGCUACAAUAUUGUCAAGAGAUAGAUAGUGUAUGUUUUGAAAUCUACAAAUACUUUGCUUAUUAUUUUUCCACUGUGUAAUUGGUGCUUGACGACUGUAA